AGCAGCCGCGGUAAUUCCAGCUCCAAUAGCGUAUAUUAAAGUUGCUGCAGUUAAAAAGCUCGUAGUUGAAUUUCGGGACUAAUAUGUCGGUCGUGCCUCGGUACGUACUGGUUUAUUGGUUUCUCCUUUCUGAAGAACCAUGAUGUCAUUUAUUUGGUGUCGUGGGGAAUCAGGACUGUUACUUUGAAAAAAUUAGAGUGUUUAAAGCAGGCUCACGCUUGAAUACAUUAGCAUGGAAUAAUGAAAUAGGACGUUUGAUUCUAUUUUGUUGGUUUCUAGGAUCGACGUAAUGAUUAAUAGGGAUAGUUGGGGGCAUUAGUAUUCAAUUGUCAGAGGUGAAAUUCUUGGAUUUAUUGAAGACUAACUACUGCGAAAGCAUUUGCCAAGGAUGUUUUCAUUAAUCAAGAACGAAAGUUAGGGGAUCGAAGACGAUCAGAUACCGUCGUAGUCUUAACCAUAAACUAUGCCGACUAGGGAUCGGAUGAUGUUAAUUUUUAAUGACUCAUUCGGCGCCUU
rnacentral:rRNA from 1 species